GUGGGUAACCUGCCCAUAAGACUGGGAUAACUCCGGGAAACCGGGGCUAAUACCGGAUAACAUUUUGAACCGCAUGGUUCGAAAUUGAAAGGCGGCUUCGGCUGUCACUUAUGGAUGGACCCGCGUCGCAUUAGCUAGUUGGUGAGGUAACGGCUCACCAAGGCAACGAUGCGUAGCCGACCUGAGAGGGUGAUCGGCCACACUGGGACUGAGACACGGCCCAGACUCCUACGGGAGGCAGCAGUAGGGAAUCUUCCGCAAUGGACGAAAGUCUGACGGAGCAACGCCGCGUGAGUGAUGAAGGCUUUCGGGUCGUAAAACUCUGUUGUUAGGGAAGAACAAGUGCUAGUUGAAUAAGCUGGCACCUUGACGGUACCUAACCAGAAAGCCACGGCUAACUACGUGCCAGCAGCCGCGGUAAUACGUAGGUGGCAAGCGUUAUCCGGAAUUAUUGGGCGUAAAGCGCGCGCAGGUGGUUUCUUAAGUCUGAUGUGAAAGCCCACGGCUCAACCGUGGAGGGUCAUUGGAAACUGGGAGACUUGAGUGCAGAAGAGGAAAGUGGAAUUCCAUGUGUAGCGGUGAAAUGCGUAGAGAUAUGGAGGAACACCAGUGGCGAAGGCGACUUUCUGGUCUGUAACUGACACUGAGGCGCGAAAGCGUGGGGAGCAAAACAGGAUUAGAUACCCUGGUAGUCCAACGCCGUCCACACUACCCCUAUAC
rnacentral:rRNA from 1 species